rnacentral:rRNA from 1 species
AUGGAUGGCGCCGGUGGAGAUGCAGGUGUGGAGCCACCAGAGUUGUACAAGGAGGAGGCGCCGACGGAGAUGAUGGGGAACGAGAGCCGGAAGAGCAGCGGCAGCAAGGCACAGUCUCCAUGGGAGGCGUCGGGAAGAGCUCGAUGCGGCAGCCUGGACCAUGGGGACGAGGUCCUCGGUUGUGGGGAUGGGAGGAGCGGCGGUCUCAGGAAAGGCUUCACGCCGGCAACGGAGGACACGCUGCAGCGCAACCACAUUGGAGGAGCUACGGGGAGGAGAAGGAGGCGCGGAGGUUGGAGGUCGCGAGCGAGGAGAUGGGAAUAG